AUUGAACGCUGGCGGCAUGCCUUACACAUGCAAGUCGAACGGCAGCACGGGUGCUUGCACCUGGUGGCGAGUGGCGAACGGGUGAGUAAUACAUCGGAACAUGUCCUGUAGUGGGGGAUAGCCCGGCGAAAGCCGGAUUAAUACCGCAUACGAUCUACGGAUGAAAGCGGGGGCCCUUCGGGCCUCGCGCUAUAGGGUUGGCCGAUGGCUGAUUAGCUAGUUGGUGGGGUAAAGGCCUACCAAGGCGACGAUCAGUAGCUGGUCUGAGAGGACGACCAGCCACACUGGGACUGAGACACGGCCCAGACUCCUACGGGAGGCAGCAGUGGGGAAUUUUGGACAAUGGGCGAAAGCCUGAUCCAGCAAUGCCGCGUGUGUGAAGAAGGCCUUCGGGUUGUAAAGCACUUUUGUCCGGAAAGAAAUCCUUGGCCCUAAUACGGUCAGGGGAUGACGGUACCGGAAGAAUAAGCACCGGCUAACUACGUG
rnacentral:rRNA from 1 species